rnacentral:rRNA from 1 species
AGUGAACGCUGGCGGUAGGCCUAGCACAUGCAAGUCGAACGGCAGCACAGUAAGAGCUUGCUCUUACGGGUGGCGAGUGGCGGACGGGUGAGGAAUACAUCGGAAUCUACUUUUUCGUGGGGGAUAACGUAGGGAAACUUACGCUAAUACCGCAUACGACCUACGGGUGGAAGCAGGGGAUCUUCGGACCUCGCGCGAUUGAAUGAGCCGAUGUCGGAUUAGCUAGUUGGCGGGGUAAAGGCCCACCAAGGCGACGAUCCGUAGCUGGUCUGAGAGGAUGAUCAGCCACACUGGAACUGAGACACGGUCCAGACUCCUACGGGAGGCAGCAGUGGGGAAUAUUGGACAAUGGGCGCAAGCCUGAUCCAGCCAUACCGCGUGGGUGAAGAAGGCCUUCGGGUUGUAAAGCCCUUUUGUUGGGAAAGAAAAGCAGCAGGUUAAUACCCCGCUGUUCUGACGGUACCCAAAGAAUAAGCACCGGCUAACUUCGUG